rnacentral:rRNA from 1 species
UACGAAGGGGGCUAGCGUUGUUCGGAAUCACUGGGCGUAAAGCGCACGUAGGCGGAUUUGUAAGUCAGGGGUGAAAUCCCGGGGCUCAACCUCGGAACUGCCUUUGAUACUGCAAGUCUCGAGUUCGGGAGGGGUGAGUGGAAUUCCUUGUGUAGAGGUGAAAUUCGUAGAUAUUAGGAAGAACACCAGUGGCGAAGGCGGCUCACUGGCCCGAUACUGACGCUGAGGUGAGAAAGCGUGGGGAGCAAACAGG